rnacentral:rRNA from 1 species
GACGUAGGAUGCAAGCGUUGUCCGGAAUUAUUGGGCGUAAAGAGCUCGUAGGCGGUCUGUCGCGUCGGACGUGAAAACCCAGGGCUCAACCCUGGGCCUGCGUUCGAUACGGGCAGACUAGAGUUCGGUAGGGGAGACUGGAAUUCCUGGUGUAGCGGUGAAAUGCGCAGAUAUCAGGAGGAACACCGGUGGCGAAGGCGGGUCUCUGGGCCGAAACUGACGCUGAGGAGCGAAAGCGUGGGGAGCGAACAGG